rnacentral:rRNA from 1 species
AACGAACGCUGGCGGCGCGCCUAAUACAUGCAAGUCGAGCGAGAAGACGUAGCAAUACGUUUGUAAAGCGGCGAACGGGUGAGGAAUACAUGGGUAACCUACCCUCGAGUGGGGAAUAACUAGCCGAAAGGUUAGCUAAUACCGCGUACGCUCCUUGGACUUCGGUUCAGGGAGGAAAGCGAUACCGUGGGUAUCGCGCUCUUGGAUGGGCUCAUGUCCUAUCAGCUUGUUGGUGAGGAACGGCUCACCAAGGCUUCGACGGGUAGCUGGUCUGAGAGGACAAUCAGCCACACUGGCACUGCGACACGGGCCAGACUCCUACGGGAGGCAGCAGUAAGGAAUAUUGCGCAAUGGGCGAAAGCCUGACGCAGCGACGCCGCGUGGGGGAUGAAGGUCUUCGGAUU